ACAGCUGUCACCACCUCUCCACCAUGCAGAGCCUGCUGGGGCUGGGUGGCCGGCGGCGGAGGAGGAGGGGGAAGAGGAUCGUCGCUGUCUAGAUCAACGUCAGGAGGAAGACCGUCGCUGAGCACAUUUUUCACCUGCAGAAACUCAUCCGUGCGGUCACCUCCUAUGAUGGUAAAUCCAAAUCCUUGGGAGCUCUUCUUCAGCGCUGUGUGGCUUCUGCCGUUAUGACACCGUGGAAAAUGUUUAUAAACCCAGUGGAAGUUAAAGAGGGGGGCGCAUUCUGCAUUGUUACCUUGAGAAGGUGCUGCUGCGG